rnacentral:lncRNA from 10 species
GAAAAGCAUAAAAGCAUCAGCAAAGCCUGGACUCUGCUUUUCCUGCUCUAACAUGCCAUCAAAUAGAGACAGAGCACUCGACUGAUGUAGGCAUUCUGUUGUUCGUAUUUGCCGAGUUCAGCUAAGAAUGUCUGAGAUCAACAGGUGGCCUUGCUAAUGGAACAGAUUCACUCAUUGUUUGUGUGUUUAAUGAAUCAUUGAGUUACUGAUCAACAGUGAGCAAUGGAAGCUGUUCAAACAGAAAGGAAGCCCAGCCGUGAGGUGGUGCUGCCAACACACUCCUUUGAAGCUCGGCUGGCCCCUGUGGGGAGUGCAGGAGGCUGGGGGUCUACUCCCUACGGUUCCCAGAGAAAUGGUAGCAAGAAGACGGUGUUAUUUCUAAUUGGAUGAUGAAAGUCAGCCUAGGGGACAGAGACCAAAGGGCCAUACGUAAGAAGAGGAGGAAGUGAAAACAUCUGAAUCAAAGGUUGAGGUAAAACUGAGAGACAGUGUUUGCAGUGAACCAUGCAGUAACCUUCAUCUUGCCCCCUGGUCUUCAGGAAACAAGCAAGUGGGGAAGGACCGAAAGAGGGAGACCAGCACCUUACUGUGAGGACAGCUGUGUUGCUCUGGUUCUGCAGAUUCUGGGCUUCUAGAUCUGAAUAAAGAAGGACUGAAUACCAUACCAGAUAAUAGUGGAUAUUCUGUCUUGGAUCUCUGACCAGACAGAGAGGCUUGACAAAGGCUUAGAGGCUUGACAAAGCUGCGUGGAGUUUCUGGGCGUGACACCUACAGAAGCUGCUCCUCCCAGCUCAAAAGGGAGCAGCUGCCUCCUCAGGGCCAAAGGCAGAGUCUCCACCCAGGUGACUCACCAGGGACUAAAGUAGAACGAGGAGGAACAACCCUGGUGAAGUCACGGGACAAUGUGAAAGCAUCACCACCUGGAUUUCAGAAGGGAAGGCUUGGCCCUGGUGUGUGAGGAACCAUCUCAACACACCCAUGACCCACGGGUAGAGAGCUGGCUUCAUAGUUUUUAAUGGUUAAUUGACUUUGACUUUUCCUUCUCCCCUCCAACCAGUUUCAGAACCUCCAGGUCUGUGAAGAGACAGAUCUCAAAUUCCUCCAUUCACUCUCCCCAGCCUCCUACAUCAAAUAUGUUAUAAAGUAACAACUCAGAACUAGUGAUUUUCUAUUCCACUGUAAACAGAUUUCAGAGUCGGAGACUUCAGCACUUCAUUGCCCCAAUAUUUGGUUGAGAAGUACUUCCUUAAGUAUUACCAACUUAUCUCUUGCAGCAAUAUCAGCCCAUUUCUUCCUAUUCAAUCUAGUGUAAAGGAGCAAAAUAGUGACUAUCUAUAUUCUUCAUGAUCCUUGAAAACAAUUAAGUCAACCCUUAGCUUUCUGUCUUUAUUCAUCAAAUGUCAGGAGAGAACAUGCUCCCACCAUUAUAAUCUUUCCGGUCAUCCUUUUACAAACUUUACUUCUUUGCAUCAUUCUUCUAACUAUGAAGUCAGAAUUGUACAUCCUGCCCUCAUAAGGUCCGUGGCAAGUCUUGGAGCAACAAUAAGUUUCUUUCCAAUUUUUGAUGUCACAUUCCUAUUCUUUCUGAUCUGGAAAUGCAUGGCUGACUUAUAUUCAACUUGAAUUUAGAUCUCAGGUCUUUUCUUGUCAUAUAGCCUCACCCAAUUCUUCCCUAGACAGGGUUAACUGCAUUAGUUUUUUUGUCCCUGGAUAUACUGACCUUGUCCUCUACCUCUUUUCAGAUGGUUGGUGUCCUACAUUUCCCAAGUUUAUUAACAUUUAUUUUUCAAUCACUGAAAGUUUCAGAAAACUCAGACAGCUAAGAAGAAAUACCUGCACAUCAUCUGACAAGAACAUGGAACAGUCUUGGCACCAGGAAGAUACAGAUGUGGCUGACCCAGACUUGCUCCCUAAAGUUCACCCUGAGCUUGUGAUACACAAAAUUUGUUUAAGAGUUCCUGUAGUGAUGUCCUCACCUGUUAUUAGAGUCAUUCGGGCCUCACCUAGAGAAUAGUUGUUGGAAAUCUGUUCUCAGCUUCAUUUGUUCUCUUGGCUUAUUCUCACUUCCAUAUUGCUCUGCCUGUCUAGAUACUUUUUUUAAACUUAUAUAAUGACAACUCAGGACGACUGAUUUUCUAUUCUAUUAUAAGCAGAUUACCAGGUCAGAGACUUAAGCACUUUGUUGCCCCACUAUUUCAUCUGUCAUACGCACUUUGCCCAUUUCUUUUCUAAACAUUGUUAACUGUAUUAGGAUUCUAUCCCUAGGUAGACUGUCCUUUUCCCAAUUUUAUUCUGUUUCGGAUCAUUGUCUUACCAAAUUUAUUAAGUUUAGUUACAUUUUUUUUUUCCUUGGAGGUUUCCCAGACUCAGAAACCUAAAACUGCCUGGGGUGGUCCCAGCUUACGUUUGUAUUCUCAGCAUAAUUAUUACAGAGUUUCCUUUCACUGUCAGAAGAAUCUUGCUUUGGAUGGUAAAUUAUAUGGUCACUCUGCUGGCCUUUCAGACUGACUCGGAACCACCCCACACACCUGACUGAGGGCACCUCAACUUCUUCCAGAACUUCAGUUAGAGACUACAUGUGGUCUUUCCUCCAGGACUAGCUUCUGGUGGUCUGGAAAUGAGUAUCUGACUCCUGGCAGGGGUGCUGUGGCACUGCCUAGGACAUUAAGCUGAGCUUCUUUCUAAGCUAAUGGAGCCCAUGAAGGUUAGAUGAUGAUUACUCUGAUUCUGUGUGUACCUCAUAAAGAUGCAGUGGAGUGGAGCAAUUAAAAACUGGAACUUUGGAGCAGGACUGCUUAAGUUCAAAUCCUGGCUCUGUCACUUUCAUUUUAUAUCAUUUAAUUGGGGCCUAUAAACCCAUGUACAUGUUCUUUAUUAAGAGAUCUUUGAAACAGAAUAUUUAUACAUGCACAGACCCACACUCAUUUAGUUGUACUUGUGAUCUAACAUUUGCAGAUUUCCCAUGUCACAAGAUCUAAUAACAUGGACAUGGCAUGGAUGACUCAGCUCCAAGCCAGUUUGUCAUAUUAUGAUAAUUCAUGGGACAGUAAGCUUGGCAAAAUUUCUCAGCACUAAGACUUCCUCUCCACAAGACAGACACAACAACUAUUCCCCCUCUGGAUGUUCAGUAAAAGCUGAAUUAUGUCAUUCAUUUAUUCACUCACAAAGCAUAUGUUCUUUAUGGAGCUCUCAGCCGUACAGCAUUAAGGGCAGUAAAGAAUCUAAAGAAAAUAAUGUCCAUGCUUAAUCUCAAGUAGUUUGUUACUGAGCUGGAAAUAAUCGAAGUAUGCACACAAAAAUUGAAUGACCAUGCAAGACAAUGAAGCCAAAAAUGCAAGACACUGAAAGUGAAAAGAAAUAUAAUAACUAAAUGUCAGAUGACCUCACAUAAGAUCUAUAGAAGCUUAGAAAAGAGAACCUAGGAAUGAAGACACCAAGAGAGUCAAGACCUAGAAGAAGAUGGAAGCUGUGAAUCUGGGAAGAAAAACAUAAAUUUUAGAUAUGCAUUGAACAUCAGAUUCAGACUAAAUCUAGUAUCUGGCAUCAGCUUCAGCCUUGGCUUCUAGAAAGCCAAACACCUACUUCAGUGUCCUUUUUUAGUAUCCUGGAAGUUGUAAAUGGUCAGUGAUCCUGUGAUUGUGCAGCUUAAAAUCUUAUUUGAUGAGCUCAGCAAUGCUAGGAAGAUGACAAAGCCAUGUCAUUUGGAGUAAUUUUUAAAAUAGAUGUGCCAGCUUUUUAUUCUGAGAAGUAAAUAUGUUAGAAAGGACAAUCCUUAUUAUCAUUUCAUACAAGGAUAUUUGACACCAAAAUAUAGAUAUGACAUGAUCAGAUUUAAUUUUAAUAUCUCAAUAUUCACUUUCAAGUAUGGGUAAGUAUUCUCAAUAUCCAUUGGAGUUUUUAAAAGACAUUGUUUUGUUUUAUGCUAUAGCACAUAACAUAAAUGCUAUAAGAUUAAUU